rnacentral:lncRNA from 1 species
CCCUUUUGAUACAGUUGAAAAUAAGGUGUCUUUUAAACUUGAAGCCUAAGCACGAGAUUUGUAAGUGUUUUCAGAACGUCAGGAAGAGUCACAAAUGAUGACACGAAUUCCUUCUUAACGAACUACAGAGCGCAAAUUAUAGUUAUGAGAUGCUGUAAAUAUGCUUCAAAGGUAAUCCACUGAGGCGCAAGCCCCGGAGAUUCGGCCCAAGCCUUUUGAAAGAGUCUUCGGUACAUUUGGUUUUGCUUCGAACGGAAAUGACGGCGUAUCAACGCCUAGUCGAUUACCAUUACAACUACAAGAAACAGUUGUUUAAUCUUGGCCAUAAAACGAAGCUAACAACAGAAUUAAUGGCUGGGCUGGUCGGGAAUUUUUUGGUCAAGCACGUCUCAACAGUCGUUAAACGAAGCGUUGCCUUGCUCGAGUGUAAACAAGUUAACGAGCAAUGAAUGAUAAGGACGCACAAAGCUUUCUACGGUUGUACGUCAAGCCAAAAAAUACUGAAAACCCGAGGGGGAAAAGUUGUGAACCUUGAAAGUCCUUAAGAAAAUAAGUAAGUCUUAGGAUUAUCACAUAAUGUUUAUCUAAUCCGGGGAAAAGGAAAUGGAUAUAAUUGACUGUUGUUUACAGAGUCAAAUACAGACCAUUCCUGUGUAGUAUUCCGUCGAUCAUUAGAUUGUCAUGGUCAGAUCAGUAUAAUAUUGUAGUUGUGGCAUUAAUCUUUAGAACAAGAGUAUUAUAUUAACGACCUAAAUCGAACUGAGUAGAUAUAAGUUUGAAGUGGAUGAUGAGUAAGACUCUUAAAGAUGAUUGGAAUAAAUAGCAUAAAGAUACUAUAAUGGCGCCACGGAAACACACAGAUCUUGCGCGAAAACGAGCAAAGGCUGACUAACCCCUGGCGGUUGCAUACUGUCAUCUUCGUCCUCAUGAACGCAAGUUAAUCGUCUGCUCUCUUGGUUACACAUUAUGCAAUUAGAUGAUGGAUUCCUCUGAGGGGGACAACGUCUGCUACCCUAAGGCUAUUAACGGAUUUAUAGAUAGCUCGGUCAGCUAAAUCCUGCUAAGCCAGUUGCGCACUUUCCUUGCUUCCAGCUAUAGGUAAUGCUAAAAGAAUGCCGGUUGGCUAUCACGGUGUUCGACUAAAUAGGCAAGAGUGUCACAACAAGUGAAAACGUCACUGAGAGUCUGUUAGUUUUCUUUUAGCUCUGAUCCUUAUUUGGCUGUAAUCAAAUAGUUCAGACUAAGAGCUGUCUGUCAAGUAGACUUUUGAUAAAAAACAAUAUGUACAAUCCAGUCUUUCAAGACAACGAAAUAUUGAAGGUUGGACAAGAGAUUUCCUCUCUUAUUAUCAAUCCAAGAUCUUAUCGGCUUUCCACAAAAUCAAGACAUAUUUCAAAGUAAGGAAAAUAAAUAAAUACCCUGCGCAUAAUCAAACAUCAAGGUGACUGGGUUCAGAGAGGAGUUAAAAGACAUUUCCCGAACACAAUGCCCUUAAUCAUGAAUGACGAUGUUUUCUUUUAAAAUAAUGAAAAGUGUCCUUCUACGCGUCUUACAGAGAUCACUUCAAAGAUGGCCAGUUAACAUUUCUGAUUGGUCACCAAGGUUAAGAGAAAACUUGUGGAGAUUGAUAACUUUUAGUUGAAUUUGAGAUGAAGAAGAAACUUGAGUUUUCAAGCGCUGACAUUACAAUCGCUCGUGGAGAUAACCGUCUAGGGACACAUGGCGCAGAACAUAAUUGACAUUUUUUUAUUUAAGAGAGCAUCAUUGAACUUAGAUAACGAUUUGUUUACUUUUUCUUAGAGCCUUGGAGUUAUAAGUAAAAGUAUUUCCUAUUAAGAAAAUGUUUUAUAUAUUUAUAUAUCUCGUGUAGUGCACGCAGGGUGUGUCAGUUGGGGGGUAUAAGUACGCAAACCUGUGAUCAUGUUGAUGUCAAUCAUAUCGAGAAAGAUGGAAAAGAAUUUCCAAACAUCAUGAAAAAGGUUUAUCUCCAUAAGGUUAGGGUCCAAAGACGUGACACUAGUAAUUCAUGGCCUGAAUCCUUGUCAAUUGGAGUGGAGCUGUUCGAAGUGGAAUUAGCUAGUUUUGAGAAGACGCUAAUGUGCUCAAGACCACGAGUCACGUCGAUGUUGGAGGCACGAAUUCGUGUUCCUGUCGGCACCUGCCUUAAGGUAGGCGUCGGCUACCGCACCUUCCUGCAAACCCGAGGCGGUGGAAACAAACCAGACCAGUAACAAUGUCCUGGAGCGGCAAAUUAAAAGACACCUACGUAGAGACACGCAAAGUGAAGACGUCCCAAGAAGGAUGUCAUACCAGUAGCAAUGUCCUAGGGCGGCAAACCAAAAGAAACCUACGAAGAGACUGGCAAAAACUGACGUCCCAAGAAGGAUGUCAGGCAAGUAGCAAUGUCCUAGGGCGGCAAAACCAAAAGACAUGCACAGACGUUCCACAAUGAGGAUGUCAUACUAGUAAGAAUGCAGUUUAAGCCGGCAAACCAAAAUACAUGCACCUACCAAAGCACACGCAAAUGAAGACGGUCCAACAAGGAUGUCGUACCAGUAAUAAUGUCUAAGGCGGCAAAAAAAA